UACGGAGGGGACUAGCGUUGUUCGGAAUUACUGGGCGUAAAGCGCGCGCAGGCGGCUAUCCAAGUCAGUGGUGAAAGCCCGGAGCUCAACUCCGGAACUGCCAUUGAAACUGUUUAGCUUGAGUAUGAGAGAGGUGAGUGGAAUUCCCAGUGUAGAGGUGAAAUUCGUAGAUAUUGGGAAGAACACCGGUGGCGAAGGCGGCUCACUGGCUCAUUACUGACGCUCAGGCGCGACAGCGUGGGGAUCAAACAGG
rnacentral:rRNA from 1 species